rnacentral:lncRNA from 1 species
UUAAGUAUUCUUACUGGCACAACAAUGUAACCCUCUCAUUAUAUUUGAAUUAGAAGGAUCAAUACAACACCCUUACUUGACAUAUUGCACGUAUGAAGUUAAAAAGUUGUCUUGAAUUUUUGUAUCAAAGAAAAAUAUCAGCUUUCCAUUUGGUUUCUUGUACCAAAGAAAAAUAUUAACUUCCCUUUUGAUUUCAGGUACCAAAGAAAAAUAUUAACUGUCCUUUUUGUUUCAUGUACCAAAGAAAAAAUAUGAACUUUCCUUUUGGUUUCAAAAGAGAAUUAAAGUCUCCUCAAAAGAAAUCUCCUCAAUAUCGUAAUUUUCCAAUUGAUUGAAAAUUUAAAAUUUCCGGGGAUUCUCAUCUUCUAAUUUCACCACAACUUUUCUUGUAUACAAAAUGGGAAUUAUUACAAGAACUUCUAUAUAUGCUUUUCCCUUGCACAAAAAAUUCAUAAAAGCAUUCGGUAGCCACAAAUAAAAGUGUUCAACUUUGUUUGAUUGCUAGGAUAUGAAACUCUAACCUUGCCCGAUACGAUUGAAUCCACAAACUACUUCUCAGACGACUAUAAUUUUCAUAGCAUCCUGCUAAGGAUUUUCUAUGUGGAUGACAAAGGGAAGCCUUUUCUCUUUGUUCUCUGACUUUGUUUUCAUGUUCAUGGGUCAUUUUAUGAUGAAUUUAUUCCCUCGGCUAAGGAGUUGACAUAUAUGGAUGAAGUGUAGGCUUACCCAUUACGUUGAGACUUGUCGACGUGUAGGCUUACUGAAACUUGGCGGCGACAUUUGAAGUACUCAAGAAUGUGUUUUUAUUUUCGUGAAUUAAAAGGUAUUUGUUUCUCAUAGGUUCAUCCUAGUUAGACCAAUACUUGCGAGUAGUCUAACUAAAGUUUCCUCCGUGAACUUUCAUGUUAUGAAAGGUUUUGUCAAAGCAACCAAUGAUUUGUUUGUGACGAUCCUCAUUUUUCGCCCACAAUCGAGUACAAACUCGAUAUUAUUUCAGGAGUAAAAAGAAAUGACCAACUUGAUUUUUUUUUUACUCUUCUUGGAUAAGUAAGAACAUGAGAAAUAACCGUCUAAAUAUUUGUUUAAGUAAUUUUUACUGGCACAACAAUGUAAGCCUAAUAAUAUAUUUGAAUUAGAAGGAUCAAUACCACACUCUCACUUGAGAUAUUGCACGUAUGAAUUUAAAAAGUUGACUUGAAUUUUUGUACCAAAGAAAAAUAUUAACUUUCCUUUUGGUUUCAUGUACUAAAUAAAAAUAUUAACUGUCCUUUUGGUUUAUAGUACAAAAGAAAAAUAUUUAC